rnacentral:rRNA from 1 species
AGUGAACGCUGGCGGCGUGCCUAAUACAUGCAAGUCGAACGAAGUGGCGCACGGGUGAGUAACGCGUAAUCAACCUGCCCUUCGGGGGGGGACAACAGUUGGAAACGACUGCUAAUACCGCAUACUGAAGGUGGGGAUUGCGUUUGAUUAGCUAGUUGGCGGGGUAACGGCCCACCAAGGCGAUGAUCAGUAGCCGGGCUGAGAGGAUGAACGGCCACAUGGGGACUGAGACACGGCCCAGACUCCUACGGGAGGCAGCAGUGGGGAAUAUUGCACAAUGGGCGCAAGCCUGAUGCAGCCAUGCCGCGUGUAUGAAGAAGGCCCUAGGGUUGUAAAGGACUUUUGUCAGGGAAGCGGUACCUGAAGAAUAAGCACCGGCUAACUACGUGCCAGCAGCCGCGGUAAUAC